AUCUGCGCCGCUCCGCCCUCCCGCCCGGAGACGCCGCGGCGACCCCUAGUGGCCGCGGGUUCGGGCGCCGCGCUCAAGGGCUCCCACGUAGGCUGUGUCACACGGUCAGAGGUUAGACCUCGGGAAGAACUUCCCAGCGUUGCACUUCUCGUGUAUUUAACAAAAACGGAGAGACCCUCUUGGACCACGUAGUGAACGAGCGACUAAGGCUCCCGAGCGCGGAGACCUUGGCCUGGUGACCCGUUGCUGCAGACAGUCUACCAGGAGGGCUGUGGGAGCUGCAGUCUGGCUGGGAACGGGGCAGGUGCAGGUCUGAAAGCUGCCUGGCGGCCGGUAUAGGUGACAGACAUGGGCCGCCUGGUUUAAAUCCGGACCCUGCAUGCACCCUUGCCAGCUGUGUGACCAGUGUGCACUUCAUUAACCUCUGUGCUUCAUCUGUAAAAUGGGGUUGAUAAAAGUUUCUACUGCAUAGGGUUGUAAGGAUAAAAUGAAUUAAUCCAUGCGAUGUUUUGUUGCACAGGCUCUGGACCCGAACAAGUGCACACUAUUAAGGUGUUAUAGAAUUUUAAAAGAAUUUUUUUUUUUUUUUAGGUUGUAUAUUGCAAAGGAAUAUAAAUUCUAGGUCAUUAAAGGGAUGUAGUUUGGGGGGGAGUCUCCCUUUGGGGAGCAGUCAUCAUAUUUUGAGGAAAUCCAAACUACCCAAGCAGAGAGAUGACACAGGAACUGAGGCCUCCAGCCAACUCCCAGCAUCAGCCACUAGACAUGUGAGCGAACUGGUCUCCAGAAGCACAUCCGUGAAUGCAUUUGGGGAAAAUCAAAUAAUGAAGAACGUUGAAUACUACCUGAUUCCUCCCUACUCUCUUCCCCAGAGAUACUACUUUAUUUUUACAAAUUGAAGGCAAGACCCUCCACCAGCAACGAUUACAGAUUGCUUCAUUGGGAUGUUUGGAACUGAACCCACAAUACCUCUAAGGAUUGUGUAUUCUACUAAGAAAACUUCUAAAAAUGUGUUUAGAUUCAACCAAGUGUCUGCGGUGGGUCUGGAAGAGAGA